CCUACGGGUGGCAGCAGUGGGGAAUAUUGCGCAAUGGGCGAAAGCCUGACGCAGCGACGCCGCGUGAGGGAUGAAGGUCUUCGGAUCGGAAACCUCUGUCAGCAGGGAAGAACGGUCACUGUGUUAUUCAGCAGUGAAUUGACGGUACCUGCAAAGGAAGCACCGGCUAACUCCGUGCGAGCAGCCGCGGGAAUACGGGGGGUGCGAGCGUUGAUCGGAAUUACUGGGCGUAAAGCGCUCGUAGGCGGUAUGUCAAGUGAAGGGUGAAAUCCCCGGGCUCAACGUGGGAACUGCCUUUGAAACUGGCAAACUGGAGUGUGUGAGAGGAUAGUGGAAUUCCAGGUGUAGGAGUGAAAUGCGUAGAUAUCUGGAGGAACAUCAGUGGCGAAGGCGACUAUCUGGCACAUAACUGACGCUGAGGAGCGAAAGCGUGGGUAGCAAACAGGAUUAGAUACCCUUGUAGUC
rnacentral:rRNA from 1 species